CCUACGGGUGUCUGCAGUGGGGAAUAUUGCACAAUGGGGGAAACCCUGAUGCAGCGACGCCGCGUGAGUGAAGAAGUAUUUCGGUAUGUAAAGCUCUAUCAGCAGGAACGAGACAAGACGGUACCUGACUAAGAAGCCCCGGCUAACUACGUGCCAGCAGCCGCGGUAAUACGUAGGGGGCAAGCGUUAUCCGGAAUCACUGGGUGUAAAGGGAGCGUAGACGGCUGUGCAAGCCUGAAGUGAAAGGCGGGGGCCCACCCCCCGGACUGCUCUGGAAACUGUGUAACUGGAGUGCAGGAGAGGCAGGCGGAAUUCCUAGUGUAGCGGUGAAAUGCGUAGAUAUUAGGAGGAACACCAGUGGCGAAGGCGGCCUGCUGGACUGUAACUGACGUUGAGGCUCGAAAGCGUGGGGAGCAAACAGGAUUAGAUACCCUGGUAGUC
rnacentral:rRNA from 1 species